CCCGCUCAUUCCUGGCUGUUGUGACCUCAUGUAACCCUCAAUGUUCUUCCACUUCAUACUCUGCACUCAUAUAGUUUCUAAUGAUUCUUCUGCAUAGCUCUUAAUGUUCUUCUGCUCUGUGUUCUGUGUUUGUGUAGUCUCUAAUGAUUCUUCUGUAUAGCUUUUUAUGUUCUUCUGCUCUGUGUUUCAUACUUAUAUAGUCUCUAAUGAUUCUUCUGUGUAGCUUUCAAUGAUUCCUUCAUCUCACAUUUCAUACUUGUGUAGCUUCUAAUGAUUCUUAUGUGUAUCUCUUAAUGUUCUUUCACUCUGCACUCCACUGUGGAGUGGCUUCUGAUAUUCUUUCACUCUGAACUUUUCUCUAUAAGAACUCUCUUUGUACAAUCUUUUCUUCUGAUUUCUUUUCUCUUUCUUUUCUUAAUCAAUUUGUAAUCUGUAUUAGAAUAGUGC
rnacentral:sRNA from 1 species